rnacentral:rRNA from 1 species
AGAGCGAACGCUGGCGGCAGGCUUAACACAUGCAAGUCGAGCGGGCGUAGCAAUACGUCAGCGGCAGACGGGUGAGUAACGCGUGGGAACGUACCUUUUGGUUCGGAACAACUGAGGGAAACUUCAGCUAAUACCGAAUAAGCCCUUACGGGGAAGAUUAUCGCCGAAAGAUCGGCCCGCGUCUGAUUAGCUUGUUGGUGAGGUAAUGGCUCACCAAGGCGACGAUCAGUAGCUGGUCUGAGAGGAUGAUCAGCCACAUUGGGACUGAGACGCGGCCCAAACUCCUACGGGAGGCAGCAGUGGGGAAUAUUGGACAAUGGGCGCAAGCCUGAUCCAGCCAUGCCGCGUGAGUGAUGAAGGCCCUAGGGUUGUAAAGCUCUUUUGUGCGGGAAGAUAAUGACGGUACCGCAAGAAUAAGCCCCGGCUAACUUCGUGCCAGCAGCCGC